UACGAAGGGGGCUAGCGUUGCUCGGAAUCACUGGGCGUAAAGCGCACGUAGGCGGCUUUUUAAGUCAGGGGUGAAAUCCUGGAGCUCAACUCCAGAACUGCCUUUGAUACUGAGAAGCUUGAGUCCGGGAGAGGUGAGUGGAAUUCCUGGUGUAGCGGUGAAAUGCGCAGAUAUCAGGAAGAACACCCGUGGCGAAGGCGGCUCUCUGGGACGGUACUGACGCUGAGACGCGAAAGCGUGGGGAGCAAACAGG
rnacentral:rRNA from 1 species